rnacentral:lncRNA from 1 species
UCCUUCUCUGUGUUCUGGACAACUCAAGAGUUGGCUUGCCAUUUUUCCCCACAUAAUACCACUUGUUGUCUAUUAUAGUUGCCAGUGGUCUGUCAUUUCUUGGGAUUUUAAUCAGCACUUCUUUCUUUGGUUGCUUAGUUACUUUUCUGAUGUGCUGGGUAGGUUUAUGAUAGGUUCUCUGUCUGGCUGUAUUCCUGGACAGAGCUGGAACUAUAGGAUGUUGUGUGGUGCUUCGAUUCUAUCAAAAACACUUGUUGUAGGUCGAUUCUGCUCAUCCAAAGCUAUUUCUAGCUCGCAUUCACACUUG